CCUACGGGUGGCAGCAGUGGGGAAUAUUGGACAAUGGGCGAAAGCCUGAUCCAGCCAUGCCGCGUGUGUGAAGAAGGCCUUCGGGUUGUAAAGCACUUUCAGUGGGGAAGAAAGCCUUGGGGCUAAUACCCUCGAGGAAGGACAUCACCCACAGAAGAAGCACCGGCUAACUCCGUGCCAGCAGCCGCGGUAAUACGGAGGGUGCGCGCGUUAAUCGGAAUUACUGGGCGUAAAGCGCGCGUAGGCGGUCUGAUAAGCCGGUUGUGAAAGCCCCGGGCUCAACCUGGGAACGGCAUCCGGAACUGUCAGGCUAGAGUGCAGGAGAGGAAGGUAGAAUUCCCGGUGUAGCGGUGAAAUGCGUAGAGAUCGGGAGGAAUACCAGUGGCGAAGGCGGCCUUCUGGACUGACACUGACGCUGAGGUGCGAAAGCGUGGGUAGCAAACAGGAUUAGAUACCCGGGUAGUC
rnacentral:rRNA from 1 species